AUUUAACUUGUAUUAUAUGCUGAUUAUGAUUUUUUUUGUUGAAAAAUUUCAAUGUAUAAUUAGUGCUCAGCCAUCAUAUAUAAUGUGUGUGCAUCUCAUACAUGCAUAUAGAUCAGUGAUUCCCAAAGUGGGCGAUAUCGCCCCCCAGGGGACGUUCUCGUUCUCAAAGGGGGCGCUGGAACAAAAAGGGGCAAUCGGGGCGAUCUACUAUGUAGAGGGCGGUGAGAUUUCAUGACCUGUUAGGCUUUUUCUUAUUAUUAUUGAACAAAUGCCUUUCUUGGGGAAAAAUGCAAUAUAUAUACAGGGUGAUUCAGAAAGGUGGUGCCGAGGUUUACAGGUAGGUGGAGGAUGGGAUUCUGAGUG
rnacentral:lncRNA from 1 species